GAGCCGCCGAUCCAACAGGGUAGUAGCUGAGCGAUGGGGUGACGCAGGAAGGUAGUCCAGCCCGGGCGGUGGUUGUCCCGGGGUAAGGGUGUAGGACGCAGGGUAGGCAAAUCCGCCCUGCAUAUAGUCUGAGACCUGAUGCCGAGCCGAUUGUGGUGAAGUGGAUGAUCCUAUGCUGUCGAGAAAAGCCUCUAGCGAGUUUCAUGGCGGCCCGUACCCUAAACCGACUCAGGUGGUCUGGUAGAGAAUACCGAGGCGUUCGGGUGAACUAUGGUUAAGGAACUCGGCAAAAUGCCCCCGUAACUUCGGGAGAAGGGGGGCCACCGUUGGUGAUGGCACUUGCUGCCUGAGCUGGUGGUGGCCGCAGAGACCAGCGAGAAGCGACUGUUUACUAAAAACACAGGUCCGUGCGAAGCCGUAAGGCGAUGUAUACGGACUGACGCCUGCCCGGUGCUGGAACGUUAAGGGGACCGGUUAGUCCACGUUCGCGUGGGCGAAGCUGAGAACUUAAGCGCCAGUAAACGGCGGUGGUAACUAUAACCAUCCUAAGGUAGCGAAAUUCCUUGUCGGGUAAGUUCCGACCUGCACGAAUGGCGUAACGACUUCUCGACUGUCUCAACCAUAGGCCCGGUGAAAUUGCAUUACGAGUAAAGAUGCUCGUUUCGCGCAGCAGGACGGAAAGACCCCGGGACCUUUACUAUAGCUUGAUAUUGGUGUUCGGUUCGGCUUGUGUAGGAUAGGUGGGAGCCUUUGAAGCAUCAACGCCAGUUGGUGUGGAGGCGUCGUUGAAAUACCACUCUGGUCGUGCUGGAUGUCUAACCUGGGUCCGUGAUCCGGAUCAGGGACAGUGUCUGGUGGGUAGUUUAACUGGGGCGGUUGCCUCCUAAAAUGUAACGGAGGCGCCCAAAGGUUCCCUCAGCCUGGUUGGCAAUCAGGUGUUGAGUGUAAGUGCACAAGGGAGCUUGACUGUGAGACCGACGGGUCGAGCAGGUGCGAAAGCAGGGACUAGUGAUCCGGCGGUGGCUUGUGGAAGCGCCGUCGCUCAACGGAUAAAAGGUACCCCGGGGAUAACAGGCUGAUCUUCCCCAAGAGUCCAUAUCGACGGGAUGGUUUGGCACCUCGAUGUCGGCUCGUCGCAUCCUGGGGCUGGAGUAGGUCCCAAGGGUUGGGCUGUUCGCCCAUUAAAGCGGUACGCGAGCUGGGUUUAGAACGUCGUGAGACAGUUCGGUCCCUAUCCGCUGCGCGCGUAGGAGUCUUGAGAAGGGCUGUCCCUAGUACGAGAGGACCGGGACGGACGAACCUCUGGUGUGCCAGUUGUCCUGCCAAGGGCAUGGCUGGUUGGCUACGUUCGGGAGGGAUAACCGCUGAAAGCAUCUAAGCGGGAAGCCUGCUUCGAGAUGAGGACUCCCACCCACUUGAUGGGGUAAGGCUCCCAGUAGACGACUGGGUUGAUAGGCCGGAUGUGGAAGCCCUGUGAGGGGUGGAGCUGACCGGUACUAAUAGGCCGAGGGCUUGUCCAU
rnacentral:rRNA from 1 species